rnacentral:sRNA from 1 species
GAGUCAAGCAUUGGUCUUGGCAAACAGGGACUGAGCUGUAACCUCUGUAAGUACACUGUUCACGACCAGUGUGCCAUGAAAGCCCUGCCUUGUGAAGUCAGCACCUAUGCCAAGUCUCGGAAGGACAUUGGUGUGAGUGAUCUCAAGCCUCCGCCCCCAACAUCACCUACAUCCUGGCCCUGGCCCUUGGCCCAUUGCUGCCCUCAGCCCCUCCCUCCCCUAGGUCCUGCUCCGACCCUCCCAAACAAGGAACUGCCUUCCUCCCCAAGGUCCAAUCACAUGUGUGGGUGCGAGGAGGCUGUGAGUCCGGGCGCUGCGACCGCUGUCAGAAAAAGAUCCGGAUCUACCACAGUCUGACGGGGCUGCAUUGUGUAUGGUGCCACCUAGAGGUCAGUUUGGGAGCCAUCCAUUCUGGGUACGUCUUACGGCCCCGCAGAGCUGCCUUCUCCACCGGCUUCCCAGCCACACCUCCUUUACAGCCACAGUUGCCCCUGCUCCCAAGGGCUCUUUCCAGCCCAGACUGCCAGGUUGAGAGGAGACAGGGUUACCUUCGUGACCUCUCUGUGCCCACCUUGUCUUUCAGAUCCACGAUGACUGCCUGCAAGCGGUGGGCCAUGAGUGUGACUGUGGGCUGCUCCGGGAUCACAUCCUGCCUCCAUCUUCCAUCUAUCCCAGUGUCCUGGCCUCUGGACCGGAUCGUAAAAAUAGCAAAACAAGCCAGAAGACCAUGGAUGAUUUAAAUUUGAGCACCUCUGAGGCUCUGCGGGUACAGGGCUGAGA